CCUAACACAUGCAAGUCGAACGGUAACAGGAAACAGCUUGCUGUUUCGCUGACGAGUGGCGGACGGGUGAGUAAUGUCUGGGAAACUGCCUGAUGGAGGGGGAUAACUACUGGAAACGGUAGCUAAUACCGCAUAACGUCGCAAGACCAAAGAGGGGGACCUUCGGGCCUCUUGCCAUCAGAUGUGCCCAGAUGGGAUUAGCUAGUAGGUGGGGUAACGGCUCACCUAGGCGACGAUCCCUAGCUGGUCUGAGAGGAUGACCAGCCACACUGGAACUGAGACACGGUCCAGACUCCUACGGGAGGCAGCAGUGGGGAAUAUUGCACAAUGGGCGCAAGCCUGAUGCAGCCAUGCCGCGUGUAUGAAGAAGGCC
rnacentral:rRNA from 1 species